rnacentral:rRNA from 1 species
UGCAAGUCGAACGUUAACAGGAAGCAGCUUGCUGCUUCGCUGACGAGUGGCGGACGGGUGAGUAAUGUCUGGGAAACUGCCUGAUGGAGGGGGAUAACUACUGGAAACGGUAGCUAAUACCGCAUAAUGUCGCAAGACCAAAGAGGGGGACCUUCGGGCCUCUUGCCAUCGGAUGUGCCCAGAUGGGAUUAGCUUGUUGGUGGGGUAACGGCUCACCAAGGCGACGAUCCCUAGCUGGUCUGAGAGGAUGACCAGCCACACUGGAACUGAGACACGGUCCAGACUCCUACGGGAGGCAGCAGUGGGGAAUAUUGCACAAUGGGCGCAAGCCUGAUGCAGCCAUGCCGCGUGUAUGAAGAAGGCCUUCGGGUUGUAAAGUACUUUCAGCGGGGAGGAAGGGAGUAAAGUUAAUACCUUUGCUCAUUGACGUUACCCGCAGAAGAAGCACCGGCUAACUCCGUGCCAGCAGCCGCGGUAAUACGGAGGGUGCAAGCGUUAAUCGGAAUUACUGGGCGUAAAGCGCACGCAGGCGGUUUGUUAAGUCAGAUGUGAAAUCCCCGGGCUCAACCUGGGAACUGCAUCUGAUACUGGCAAGCUUGAGUCUCGUAGAGGGGGGUAGAAUUCCAGGUGUAGCGGUGAAAUGCGUAGAGAUCUGGAGGAAUACCGGUGGCGAAGGC